CAGCCGCCACGGUAAUACGGAGGGAGCUAGCGUUGUUCGGAAUUACUGGGCGUAAAGCGCGCGUAGGCGGUUACUCAAGUCAGAGGUGAAAGCCCGGGGCUCAACCCCGGAACUGCCUUUGAAACUAGGUGACUAGAAUCUUGGAGAGGUCAGUGGAAUUCCGAGUGUAGAGGUGAAAUUCGUAGAUAUUCGGAAGAACACCAGUGGCGAAGGCGACUGACUGGACAAGUAUUGACGCUGAGGUGCGAAAGCGUGGGGAGCAAACAGGAUUAGAUACCCGGGUAGUCCCUGUCUCUUAUAC
rnacentral:rRNA from 1 species